UCGUCCUGAAACCUUCUCUUCUCCAGGCUGAACAGUCCCAACUCUCUCAGCCUUUCCUCAUAGGAGAGGUGCUCUAUUCCUCUAAUCAUCUUGGUGGCUCUCAUUUGGACUUGCUCCUACAGGUACCAAGUCUCAUCUAAUAACUCAAGAGGCAUUAACUUUCUAAAACUACCUGUUUACUUGGUACAUGACCCCUCUGUAUUAUGAUAAACAAACAUGAAAUCAGAUGGAUUGAGGAAAGACUCACCGGUCUCUAUUGAAGUCUGCAGAGAAGAACGAUUCUGGAUACAUGAUUCCAGUAGGGGGGAAGGCGUCCUCUGGAUAAAGGAUCCUCUGCACCCAGCUGUACCCCAGGCAAGUGUAUUACAGCUAGCAACACUGAGUAAGCAGACACCAGAGGCUCCACAGGACAGAAUGGGGAAGAAGUUCCUUCUGAGAGCCCUGUUUAUGAAGAGACUGGAGAGCCAAGCACACCUGGUCUAGUCAAGCCAUUCCUUGUGAUGAAGUUGUUGCUGCUUGCUGCCAUCAGGGACACAACUGAGCAGUCCCACACCCUCUUGAGGGUGGUCUCAAAGAACCACAACCUCCAGAGGAGCCUUCAAACGGGGCUCAGAAAUCCCAAAGCCCUCUCCUCAUUGCCCUUCUCUCUCCUGCUAAACCGUACAUAGACCCAAAACAGGAUCCAACUCACUCUCCUUGGGGCACCUGGCACAUGUGCUCUUUUGCCCUUUUGUUGUUUGUGCAGUGUCUGCCAUGAGGUAUUGUCACUUGCACAACUGAAGAGUAGGCAACCCAUCCCCUCACCUUUCCCCCGAGAUACAAGAGGUAGGACAAUGCUCCAUCACUUGGGUAAACAGUGCCAGACAGAGCUGGUUAGAGCAGCCUUUCAUCCUGGCAACACUUUUAGCUCUGGGGUUUGCAUACAUGCCCCUAAAACUGAAUUUCUCUCAGAACUGUUAUGUCAGAAAUCUCCAAAGUGUUUUGAUUAGCUCGUUCUGGGAGAUUUCAGCUUCACAUGGUCUUCUUCUCUGCAGUGGACAUAUUUGGAGCCAAUUUCUGGUGCUUAGUUUCAUAAUCGCUAGCACUUCCGAGACUUCUCAGAUGGGUGGCUGACAAGAAGCUACCUGGUUACAUGAGUUUUAACACAUCUCUCAGCGAACUCUGAGACCCAAAUGCAACAUCUGCUAGAACAUGCACGGAUGUCAUGUGGAUUUAUGAUAUUUGCUUGAGGAUUCUGGAGCCAUAAACCAAUGAAUGGAUUACAAUGAGAUAAAUACAGUAUUUUCUUCUGUCAAAGGCAAUUUUGUCCUGAUACUUUUCAAUGCAUUAUUUAAUUGAAAGCAGUUUCCAUUUUGCUCAACCUAGCAAGUUGAAAGUUUAAAAGAUAAGCCACAUUUCUUUGUUUGAAUAUACUGUCAAAUGCAUUUGAAAAUAAAAUGCUCAA